GCUUACGGCCAUACCACCCUGAACACGCCCGAUCUCGUCCGAUCUCGGAAGCUAAGCAGGGUCGGGCCUGGUUAGUACUUGGAUGGAGACCGCCUGGAAUACCAGGUGCUGUAAGCU
rnacentral:rRNA from 1 species